rnacentral:rRNA from 1 species
UCACUCCUACGGGAGGCAGCAGUGGGGAAUAUUGCACAAUGGGCGCAAGCCUGAUGCAGCCAUGCCGCGUGUAUGAAGAAGGCCUUCGGGUUGUAAAGUACUUUCAGCGGGGAGGAAGGCAAUACGGUUAAUAACCGUGUUGAUUGACGUUACCCGCAGAAGAAGCACCGGCUAACUCCGUGCCAGCAGCCGCGGUAAUACGGAGGGUGCAAGAGUUAAUCGGAAUUACUGGGCGUAAAGCGCACGCAGGCGGUCUGUCAAGUCGGAUGUGAAAUCCCCGGGCUCAACCUGGGAACUGCAUUCGAAACUGGCAGGCUUGAGUCUUGUAGAGGGGGGUAGAAUUCCAGGUGUAGCGGUGAAAUGCGUAGAGAUCUGGAGGAAUACCGGUGGCGAAGGCGGCCCCCUGGACAAAGACUGACGCUCAGGUGCGAAAGCGUGGGGAGCAAACAGGAUUAGAUACCCGUGUAGUCCCAUGAU